rnacentral:rRNA from 1 species
CUGUGAGAGAGCUUUGCGUCCCAUUAGCUAGUUGGAGAGGUAACAGCUCACCAAGGCGAUGAUGGGUAGCCGGCCUGAGAGGGUGAACGGCCACAAGGGGACUGAGACACGGCCCUUACUCCUACGGGAGGCAGCAGUGGGGAAUAUUGGACAAUGGACCGAGAGUCUGAUCCAGCAAUUCUGUGUGCACGAUGAAGUUUUUCGGAAUGUAAAGUGCUUUCAGUUGGGAAGAAAGAAAUGACGGUACCAACAGAAGAAGUGACGGCUAAAUACGUGCCAGCAGCCGCGGUAAUACGUAUGUCACGAGCGUUAUCCGGAUUUAUUGGGCGUAAAGCGCGUCUAGGUGGUUAUAUAAGUCUGAUGUGAAAAUGCAGGGCUCAACUCUGUAUUGCGUUGGAAACUGUAUAACUAGAGUACUGGAGAGGUAAGCGGAACUACAAGUGUAGAGGUGAAAUUCGUAGAUAUUUGUAGGAAUGCCGAUGGGGAAGCCAGCUUACUGGACAGAUACUGACGCUGAAGCGCGAAAGCGUGGGUAGCAAACAGGAUUAGAUACCCUGGUAGUCCACGCUGUAAACGAUGAGUACUAGGUGUCGGGGGUUACCCCCCUCGGUGCCGCAGCUAACGCAUUAAGUACUCCGCCUGGGGAGUACGCACGCAAGUGUGAAACUCAAAGGAAUUGACGGGGACCCGCACAAGUAGCGGAGCAUGUGGUUUAAUUCGAAGCAACGCGAAGAACCUUACCUAAGCUUGACAUCCCUCGGACAGGUGUUUAAUCACACCCUUCCUUCGGGACUGAGGUGACAGGUGGUGCAUGGUUGUCGUCAGCUCGUGUCGUGAGAUGUUGGGU